rnacentral:sRNA from 1 species
AAAUAAUUUGCAUAUUAAUUUAUGUAUUUUUAGUUUAUAACACAGACUGAGAACUUAUCUAGGAUUAACAUACUGUAGGUUUAUACCUACACUUGUUAUGAUUAGAGUGGUAACUGAGCAUACAGGCUUCAGUAAAUUUAUGUUUUUUAGGUAAGUAGACAACUAUGGUGAAGUUAGUAAUAGUAGUUAAUAAUAUUAUGAAAUAAAGUGUUAACUUCUUCUAAUAUUAUUAGAGAUAUUAUACUGCGCUUAAUCGCGUAAAGUAUAAUAAAAAAUUGUAAAACAUAUUGACAGGUUUAACGGCAAAAUCUUGCCUUACUGUUUGAUUAACAACAAAUCUUACAGUCGCGUAAGCGGGGCAUAGGAUCACGAGAUUCAAAAAGGAAAGGUCUUGGAUUAUUGGAAAAGCUACGCUAGGGAUGUUUGUCCUUCAAUGUUUAAUAAUAAUAGGACGGCGAUAUAAAAGGCUAGCCUUAAGCCCUCUAAGUCCAUUAUUAAAAAAACUAUUGAUAAUAUAUUGGGUCAAUUUCAAGAAUUACUUUGCUUAUAAAGAAAACUUGAAGCGAAAUUUAUCUUAACAUAAGGCUAGCUCGGCGCAAGCCGAGCGCAGCGCCGUAAGUUAUUAGAGUUUAACCUCGAACUAGCCUUAAAGAUAAGUACGUUCAACGACUAAAAGGUGAGUAAUGUUAACAAUAAUCCUUUAAUAAAACCCAACAUUUUUAUUACUAUGUAUAUAAAAUAUAUUUUAAGCUCUAAAAAAAUUGCUAUGAGGGACGAAGUUUUAAAUAUUUUUAAGCAAAAUCUUAAAAAUAAAAAUAAAUUAAUACCAUUUAAUAAUACAAAAAAUACAGUAGGUCAAACUAAGUAUUUUCCUCCUACAUCUAAAGAAUGAAGAAAUAAUGCAUAUUUUUUUAAUAAAAAUACAACUAAAAAUUUCCCUGUUGUGGAUAUAAGUUUAUUUUAUAUUAUUAAGAAUUAUUUUAAUGCAUUUUUUAACCAAGAAUUUAUGUUUAACCAAAAAAAUUUACGAAAAAUUAAAUCUUUUCAAAAAAUUUUUGUUAGUAAACCAGAAAUAAAACAUCUUAAUUCUAAAGCUAUUGUUACCGUUUAUACAUACAAUGUUCAAGGUAGAAGUAUAUUUAAUAAUGUUAAAAGAUUAAUUUUACUUAAAAGAGGGUUAAUUUUAAAGGUAAUUUUUAAUAUACUUUUAAUUCAACAACGUAAUGGCUUAUUAAAAAAAUAUUUUCUUUUAGAUAAAGUUUUAAACCAUCUUAGAAGAUUAAAAUUAAAACUUAACCUUAAUAAAUAUAAAUUUGAAGAUAAGUUGUUAUAUAAAUUAAGUAAAUUUAUAUCUAAAUAUUAUAAUAAAAAAAUUGAAUUUAAUAUAGUAAAUUUAAAGUCUGUUAUGUUUAAUAGUGAUUUAUUUACAGAAAUAUUAACUUACAAAUUAAAAAAUAGAAGAUCCUCUCCUUUGAGACUUAUGAAUAUUUUUUUAAAUAAAGCUCCUUUACCUGAUGUUAAUAGAAUUAAGGAAAGAAGUAGAGUUAUAAAAUCUGUUGAUUAUGAUUUAAUAGGUAAUAAAUUAAAAAAUCUUAAUUUAUAUAGUAUAACUGGCGAUAAUUUAGAAAAUCUAUUAAAAGAUAUAUAUGGAACUAAUAUGGUUACUAAUACUAAAGAUCAAGCUGUUUAUGAUACUAUUUUUAAAUCUAUUAACUAUAAAAAUACUUGUGGUGUAAGAUUAGAAGUUAAAGGUAGAUUAACUAAACGUUAUAGAGCUGAUAGAGCUGUUUAUAAAUUAAGAUGAAAAGGUGGGUUAAGAAAUAUAGAUUCAUCAUAUAAAGGUUUAUCAUCUGUAAAUUUUAGAGGGUUUAUUGUACCUAAUCUACAAUAUUCUAUUAAUACGGCAAAACGUCGUAUUGGAGCUUUUGCAGUAAAAGGUUGAGUUAGCGGUAAAUAGAUUUUGGCUAUUUUUUUUUUUAAAAAAAAAAACAAGCUCUAAGCUUUAAUACAAUAGUAAUAAAAAUGAAGAAAUAGUCUGAACCAUUUUGUGAAAAUUGGAAAUAUUUAUUAUGAUAA